rnacentral:rRNA from 1 species
GACCUGGCCGGGCGGUCCGCCUCACGGCGUGUACUGUCUGGCUGGGCCUUAUCUCUUGGUGAGCCGGCGUGCCCUUUAUUGGCGUGCGUCGGGGAACCAGGACUUUUACCUUGAGAAAAUUAGAGUGUUCAAAGCAGGCCUAUGCCCGAAUACAUUAGCAUGGAAUAAUAAAAUAGGACG